GGAUGAACGCUGGCGGCGUGCCUAAUACAUGCAAGUCGAGCGAACGGACGAGAAGCUUGCUUCUCUGAUGUUAGCGGCGGACGGGUGAGUAACACGUGGAUAACCUACCUAUAAGACUGGGAUAACUUCGGGAAACCGGAGCUAAUACCGGAUGAUAUUUUGAACCGCAUGGUUCAAAAGUGAAAGACGGUCUUGCUGUCACUUAUAGAUGGAUCCGCGCUGCAUUAGCUAGUUGGUAAGGUAACGGCUUACCAAGGCAACGAUGCAUAGCCGACCUGAGAGGGUGAUCGGCCACACUGGAACUGAGACACGGUCCAGACUCCUACGGGAGGCAGCAGUGGGGAAUCUUCCGCAAUGGGCGAAAGCCUGACGGAGCAACGCCGCGUGAGUGAUGAAGGUCUUCGGAUCGUAAAACUCUGUUAUUAGGGAAGAACAUAUGUGUAAGUAACUGUGCACAUCUUGACGGUACCUAAUCAGAAAGCCACGGCUAACUACGUG
rnacentral:rRNA from 1 species